rnacentral:lncRNA from 1 species
UUCAUGUUAUAAAUGCUGAUUUGGCUAGAGUAGUAUAGAUAAUUCAUGUUCCAUUUUGAUAGGCAGUUGAGCUAAAAACUGUCCUAUGAUUUUGUAAGGUAACCAUUUGGUGAUUAAUACAAUUUUAAUUACCAAAAAAAACAAGAAAGUUACUUUUAUUUGUUUUAUUUACUUCUUACAAAGUAUGUAAUUGUAAGGAAAAAUAUCAGUCCCUCCGUCCCAAAUUAGAUGUUCGGAUUUCGAAAGUCAACAGAGUUAUUUUUUGACUAUAACUUUUCAUAUGCAUUAUAAAUAUUUUUAAUUAUUAAAUACUAUGACUUAUAAUACUUUUUAUAUAAUUUUCAAAUGUGUAUUUUACUAUGAAAUUUUUUUAUGUUAAAAUAGAUAGACAAAAUUAAAAAGCUUGAAUCUCGAAAAGGGAAAAGCAUCAAAUAAACUACGACAAAAGGAGUAUGCCAUUUUAAAUUAGUAUAUUAGUGACAACAACAAAAUGCUUCAAAAGAUUAUUUUAUUCUCACUUAUCUUUUAUAAUAAUUCAUUCUUGUUCUUUCUUUGCAGAGCAACUCCAUGAAUCGCCAACUGGUAAGAUACUGUUUAAAAAUUUAUAUUUUAUUAUUCUCAUUUUUUAGAAGUUUCUCGCUAGUAGCCAAAUUUGCACAAUAAAUUUGUACAGCGACGGAUCCAAGAUUUUAAAGUUAUGAGUGCUCGCCAAUAAAAAUUUCAAAUGAAAAAAAAAAAAUUUACUUGUGAGUGCUUACUUAAUAUUUAUCUAAAUAUUUAUACUGUUGCUAAUAUAAAUUUAUUAAUAUGGUCAAAGUUAAUAGAUACAUAAGCACCCACAAUUCGCAUCCGCCACUGAAUUUGAAAACAAUCGAUGUAGUGUAGUAUUGUUCUACUGAAAGAUUAUUGUAUGAUGAAUAGAAUGGAAUGAAAUAGACAUUAACAAAGAUAACGGGGUUUCCACGCAAAAAAAUAUUUUCUUAUUUUAUUAAUUAAAUUUAAGUUCUAUAUAUUGAUAAUAUAAUAUAAAUAAUAUUUAAUAAAUUAUUAAAUAAAUACAUUUUUAUAAUGGUGCAAUUCAUUUAAUAUCUAUUGUGUAUGUAGCUUAAAUUCAUUUGAAUAAUAGGUAAUGGUGGUGGCAAUAGUACUAAAACUGAAGUCCAUCCUCAUAAGUCUACUUCAGCUCCUUCAGCAACCGAACAAUCACCCCCGGUAAAAUUACGCCCGGUAAUAAUUUGCCCAAUAUCUUUAUAUUGUAAUUUCAUCGUAGGCAGAAUUAGAAUUUUAAUUUUGUGGGUUCAACCAUUAAAUUGUUAAUAUUGAUCAUAUUGCAUUGUAAAGUUAUGGUUUCAUAUUAAAUAUUUAUUCAUAUUUUAAAUAAUUUCUACAUAUAAAUUUAUGUUCGACAUUAAAAAUACUGGGUUUAAUUAAACUCGAUCAGCAUUGCUACGUUGGAUCCGCCCCCGUUUGAAACAUUUCCCACCACUAAUUAGGGGUAAAAACUAAAUAAUCAAAUUUAUGGUCAAACUUUAAUUUUGAAUUAAAAGUUGAAAGCAUAAGGUGGAUAACGAUUUUCACCAAGAAAGUUACUUUUAUUUGUUUUUAUUUUACUUCUUAUGAAGUAUGUAAUUAUAAGGGAAAAUACAACUCCCCGUCCCAAUUUAUGUAAAUGUGUUCGAAUUUCGAGGAAUAAUUGAAUUAUUCUUUGACCAUAAUUUGUCGCAUAUGUUUUAAAUUAUUAAAUAUUGUGGCUUAUAAUAUUUUUUGUAUAAUUUUUUAUAUGUAAAUUUAUUGUGAAAAUUCUCUAUGUUUAAAUAUACAAUAAAAGAUAAGAAGUUUGAAUCUCAAAAUCCGAAAAGUAUAUAUACAUUAGGACAAAAGAAGUAUGUCAUUUUAAAUUAGUAUAUCAGCCUAGACGUUAAAUGCUUCAAAAGAUUAUUUUUUUUCUCAUUUAUCUUUUAUUGUUAUGAAAUAGAAGAUUCUUACACUUCUAUUUAAGGUGAAUGUCUUUAAUGUAUUU